UACAGAGGGUGCAAGCGUUGUUCGGAAUUAUUGGGCGUAAAGGGCGCGUAGGCGGUGCUGUAAGUCUGUGGUGAAAUCUCUGGGCUCAACUCAGAGUCUGCCAUAGAAACUGCAGUGCUGGAGUGUGGGAGAGGUGAGUGGAAUUCCCGGUGUAGCGGUGAAAUUCGUAGAUAUUCGCAAGAACACCAGUGGCGAAGGCGGCUCACUGGCCCGGUACUGACGCUGAGGUGCGAAAGCGUGGGGAGCAAACAGG
rnacentral:rRNA from 1 species